UACGUAGGUGGCAAGCGUUGUUCGGAAUUAUUGGGCGUAAAGAGCUCGUAGGCGGUUUGUUGCGUCGGCUGUGAAAUCCCGAGGCUCAACCUCGGGUCUGCAGUCGAUACGAGCAAACUAGAGUGUUGCAGGGGAGACUGGAAUUCCUGGUGUAGCGGUGAAAUGCGCAGAUAUCAGGAGGAACACCGGUGGCGAAGGCGGGUCUCUGGGCAGUUUCUGACGCUGAGGCACGAAGGUCAGGGGAGCAAACGGG
rnacentral:rRNA from 1 species